rnacentral:rRNA from 1 species
AGAUUGAACGCUGGCGGCAUGCUUUACACAUGCAAGUCGAACGGUAACAGGCCGCAAGGUGCUGACGAGUGGCGAACGGGUGAGUAAUGCAUCGGAACGUGCCCAGGUCGUGGGGGAUAACGCAGCGAAAGCUGUGCUAAUACCGCAUACGAUCUAUGGAUGAAAGCGGGGACCGAAGGCCUCGCGCGAUUGGGAGCGGCCGAUGUCAGAUUAGCUAGUUGGUGGGUAAACGCCCACAGGCGACGAUCUGUAGCUGGUCUGAGAGGACGACCAGCCACACUGGAACUGAGACGACCGGUCCAGACCGUCCGUACGGGACGGCAGCGAGGGUUAGGGGUAA